AUUUGUGAUCAAGCUACCAAGGGCCGAUGGUGAAUGCCUUGGUGCCAAGAGGCGAAGAAGGACGUAGCAAGUUGCGAAAAGCCCCGAGUAGCCGCAAGCAGGCGAUGAUCCGGGGAUUUCCGAAUGGGGCAACCCACCGGCUUACGCCGGUGUCCGAGGGUCAAUUCAUAGCCCUAGGACGCGAGACGGGGUGAAGUGAAACAUCUCAGUAACCCCAGGAAAAAAACACAACGUGAUUCCGUUAGUAGUGGCGAGCGAACGCGGAACAGCCCAAACUGGGGGGACUUGUCCUCCCAGGGUUGAGGGACUCUGAAGUGACCGAAGCCGUGACAGUGGAAUGUCUUGGAAAAGAUAGCCGGAGACCGUGACAGCCGGGUACACGACGUAACGGCCAAGUCUAUGAGCAUCCCAAGUAGCACGGUGCACGUGAAACCCCGUGCGAAUCUGUCCGGACCACCGGAUAAGGCUAAAUACUCCUUGGCAACCGAUAGUGAACAAGUACCGCGAGGGAAAGGUGAAAAGCACCCCUGUUAGGGGAGUGAAAGAGUGCCUGCAACCAUUGGCCUACAAUGUGUGGGAGCCCGCAAGGGUGACCGCCUGCCUUUUGCAUAAUGAGUCUGCGAGUUAUUGCCCGCGGCCAGCCUAAGCCGAAUCACGGUGCAGGCGAAGGGAAACCAAGUGCCAACCGCGCGUUAAGUCGCGGGCAAUAGACCCGAAGCGGAGGUGAUCUACUCUUGAGCAGGUUGAAGCCUGGUUAACACCAGGUGAAGGACCGAACUCGUGGAUGUUGAAAAAUCCUGAGAUGACUUGAGAGUAGGAGCGAAAGACUAAUCAAACCCCGUGAUAGCUGGUUCUCUCCGAAAUAGUUUGAGGACUAGAGUUGGGUCAGUACUCUGCGGAGGUAGAGCACUGGAUGGCUUAGGGUCCCCACCAGGAUACCAAAACCAAUCAAACUCCGAAUUCCGCAGAUCCCAGUAUCCCAGCAUUCAGGCGGCGAGGGCUAAGCUUCGUCGCCAAGAGGGCAACAGCCCAGACCACCGGCCAAGGUGCCACAAUGCAGUUCAGUGAAAAGGAUGUGACGCUGCUAAGACAGUGAGGAUGUUGGCUUAGAGGCAGCCAUCAUUUAAACAGUGCGUAACAGCUGACUCAUCGAGCGGUGUCGCGCCGAAAAUGAUUGGCGAUCAAACUGCAUACCGAAGCCGUGGGGGGAUCAUCCGGUUCGCUGGAAAUCCUCGGUAGGAGAGCGUGACCAACGCGGUGAAGCCUGACGGUAACGAAAGGUGGAGCGCUUGGUCAGUGAGAAUGCAGACACGAGUAGCGAUAAACCGGGUUUAAAUCCCGGUCGCCGUAAACCUAAGGUUUCCUGGGGCAGGUUCGUCCUCCCAGGGUUAGUCGGGAGCUAAGGCGAGGCUGUAGAGCGUAGCCAAUGCCCGGCAGGUCAACAUUCCUGCACCAAGCCAGGUCAAGACGAAGGGGACGCAGAGAGGAAGGUGACUAUCCAACUGAAUCGGGAGCAGCGGCUUCGGCCAAAGCGCAUCACCGGACAAUCUGCCAAGAAAAGCCUUCGUUCGUUUCCUGGUUUGCCCGUACCGUAAACCGACACAGGUGGGUGAGUGUAAACGCACUCAGGCGCGCGAGAGAAACCUCUCUAAGGAACUCGGCACAUUAGCCCCGUAACUUCGGAAGAAGGGGUGCCCGCUGCCCGCACAGCAAUGUACGGGACACGGGCCACAGUAAAUUGCGCUUAGCGACUGUUUAACAAAAACACAGCACUCUGCCAAGUCGUGAAGACGACGUAUAGGGUGUGACACGUGACCAAUGCGGAAAGAUUAAAGCAUCUUGUCAGCCGCAAGGCGAAGCUCGGUGCUCAAGUCCCCGUGAAUGUCGGCCGUAACUAUAACGGUCCUAAGGUAGCGAAAUUCCUUGUCGGGUAAGUUCCGACCUGCACGAAUCGUGUAACGACUGAGCGACUGUCUCGGAGAGGAUCUCGGCGAAACUGUAACGGCGGUGAAGAUGCCGCCUGCCCGCAGUAGGACGGAAAGACCCUAUGCACCUUUACUGUAAGCUGGUAUGGUGUUCUGGUUAACGAUGCGUAGCGUAGGUGGGAGACUUAGAACGGUCGGCUUCGGUUGACCGGGAGUCGCAAUGUGAAACACCACUCUUUGCUAAUUAGAAUUCUAACCCCGACCUGUCAGCCAGGCGGGGGACAGUGCCUGCAGGUCAGUUUGACUGGGGCGGUUUCCUCCCAAAAAGUAACGGAGGAGCGCGAAGCUCGGCUCAGCACGGUUGGCAACCGUGCGGUGAGGGUAUGGCUACAAGCCGGGUUGACUGCGAGACCAACAAGUCGAGCAGAUGCGAAAGCAGGCCCAAGUGAUCCGAUGGUUUAAUGUGGAAUUGCCAUCGCUCAACGGACAAAAGGUACGCUAGGGAUAACAGGCUGAUCGGGCCCAAGAGUUCAUAUCGACGGCCCGGUUUGGCACCUCGAUGUCGGCUCAUCGCAUCCUGGGGCUGGAGAAGGUCCCAAGGGUCCGGCUGUUCGCCGGUUAAAGCGGUACGCGAGCUGGGUUCAGAACGUCGUGAGACAGUUCGGUCCUUAUCCACUGUGGGCGCAGGAGACUUGAGGGGUUCUUUCCUUAGUACGAGAGGACCGGGAAAGACGCACUUCUGGUGUGGCAGUUGUUCCGUCAGGGGCAUCGCUGCGUAGCCAUGUGCGGAAGAGAUAAGCGCUGAAAGCAUCUAAGCGCCAAGCUUCUCCCAAGAUAUGGUCUCCCGGCCGCAAGGCCCUAAAGACCCCCGGCAGACCACCGGGUUGAUAGGUCAGACGUGCAAGCGCGGCAACGCGUUCAGCGGACUGAUACUAAUUGGUCGUGCGGCUUGAUCGCUCC
rnacentral:rRNA from 1 species